GACUAACGCUGGCGGCGUGCCUAAUACAUGCAAGUUGAGCGCUGAAGGUUGGUACUUGUACCAACUGGAUGAGCAGCGAACGGGUGAGUAACGCGUGGGGAAUCUGCCUUUGAGCGGGGGACAACAUUUGGAAACGAAUGCUAAUACCGCAUAAAAACUUUAAACACAAGUUUUAAGUUUGAAAGAUGCAAUUGCAUCACUCAAAGAUGAUCCCGCGUUGUAUUAGCUAGUUGGUGAGGUAAAGGCUCACCAAGGCGAUGAUACAUAGCCGACCUGAGAGGGUGAUCGGCCACAUUGGGACUGAGACACGGCCCAAACUCCUACGGGAGGCAGCAGUAGGGAAUCUUCGGCAAUGGACGAAAGUCUGACCGAGCAACGCCGCGUGAGUGAAGAAGGUUUUCGGAUCGUAAAACUCUGUUGGUAGAGAAGAACGUUGGUGAGAGUGGAAAGCUCAUCAAGUGACGGUAACUACCCAGAAAGGGACGGCUAACUACGUG
rnacentral:rRNA from 1 species